rnacentral:rRNA from 1 species
UCGGUACAUCGGUGACAGGUGGUGCAUGGUUGUCGUCAGCUCGUGUCGUGAGAUGUUGGGUUAAGUCCCGCAACGAGCGCAACCCCUAUUGUUAGUUGCCAUCAUUCAGUUGGGCACUCUAGCGAGACUGCCGGUAAUAAACCGGAGGAAGGUGGGGAUGACGUCAAAUCAUCAUGCCCCUUAUGACCUGGGCUACACACGUGCUACAAUGGUUGGUACAACGAGUUGCGAGUCGGUGACGGCGAGCUAAUCUCUUAAAGCCAAUCUCAGUUCGGAUUGUAGGCUGCAACUCGCCUACAUGAAGUCGGAAUCGCUAGUAAUCGCGGAUCAGCACGCCGCGGUGAAUACGUUCCCGGGCCUU